CUUCUCUGGCAGCAUCCAGCACAGACCUGCAGAAGGUCACAGAGCAGCAGGAGGGCUGUAGCCCUGAUCUUGUGACCAACAAAGCAAAUGAAGACACAGAAGGAACAUGCUGUCCUCAUGAUCAUCAGAGACCAAGCUAGGAGACAAGCAAAGCAAUAAUUUCCAUGCAGUCUGAUUAGUGCCAAGGUGGGAGGUGGAUGGAGAUGGAGAAAGCUCCCUGGAGGAAGGGAGGAGGCUGCUGUCCAGGUUCCACACCAGCCCAGCCCAACUACCUUGUUUAGGUCCAGGCUUCCACACCCUUCUCUCAAGAUGUCACAGAAACCUGCCCCAGGCCAGAGAAAAGAGCAAUUUACUAAACUAGAGGAUGUUAGGAGCCAGGAGGCAUCUAAAAGGGCCUUCAUCAGGGAUGCUCGGAGCCCAAACCUGGCUCUGGAAGCACCUUCUCUGUAGCAGUCCCACGAAUAAAGAGGGCCCAACUGUCCUUUGGCCAAGGGGACAACUAGG
rnacentral:lncRNA from 1 species